rnacentral:lncRNA from 1 species
UGGGCGGUCGGAACGGUUGAAGGGAGACAUGGGUGUGAAUGAUGCGUCGAGGAAAGAUUGGAAAGAUUGUUGGGGUGUUUGGUAGAGAUAGGGUUGUUGGAGGUUUUGGUUUUGUGAGGUUUGAGAUUCUUGGCUAUGGUAGGAGGAGGGAUGGUUGGUGUCGAAUGAUCGUUGAAUGUUCUGGCUAAGGCGGACUUUGGUAGGGUGAUGUGUUGGGUGAGAAGCGAUGUUGGGUCUUUGGUUGAUGAUCUAUUUGUUGGUGG